UACGUAGGGAGCAAGCGUUGUCCGGAAUCAUUGGGCGUAAAGCGCGCGUAGGUGGCUUCGUAAGUCCGUUGUGAAAGUCAAAGGCUCAACCUUUGAAAGCCGAUGGAUACUGUGAAGCUAGAGUACGGAAGAGGCGAGUGGAAUUCCUGGUGUAGCGGUGGAAUGCGCAGAUAUCAGGAAGAACACCAACGGCGAAGGCAGCUCGCUGGGACGGUACUGACGCUGAGACGCGAAAGCGUGGGGAGCAAACAGG
rnacentral:rRNA from 1 species